rnacentral:rRNA from 1 species
GACGAACGCUGGCGGCGUGCUUAACACAUGCAAGUCGAACGGAAAGGCCCUGCUUGCAGGGUACUCGAGUGGCGAACGGGUGAGUAACACGUGGGUGAUCUGCCCUGCACUUCGGGAUAAGCGUGGGAAACUGGGUAUAAUACCGGAUAGGAGCCAUCUUUAGUGUGGUGGUUGGAAAGUUUUUUCGGUGUAGGAUGAGCUCGCGGCCUAUCAGCUUGUUGGUGGGGUAAUGGCCUACCAAGGCGGCGACGGGUAGCCGGCCUGUGAGGGUGUACGGCCACAUUGGGACUGAGAUACGGCCCAGACUCCUACGGGAGGCAGCAGUGGGGAAUAUUGCACAAUGGGCGCAAGCCUGAUGCAGCGACGCCGCGUGGGGGAUGAAGGCCUUCGGGUUGUAAACUCCUUUCGCUAGGGACGAAGCUUUUUGUGGCGGUACCUAGAUAAGAAGCACCGGCUAACUACGUG